GACAGCAGUAGCCGCGGGAAUACAGAGGGUGCGAGCGUUAAUCGGAUUUACUGGGCGUAAAGCGUGCGUAGGCGGCUUCUUAAGUCGGAUGUGAAAUCCCUGAGCUUAACUUAGGAAUUGCAUUCGAUACUGGGAAGCUAGAGUAUGGGAGAGGAUGGUAGAAUUCCAGGUGUAGCGGUGAAAUGCGUAGAGAUCUGGAGGAAUACCGAUGGCGAAGGCAGCCAUCUGGCCUAAUACUGACGCUGAGGUACGAAAGCAUGGGGAGCAAACAGGAUUAGAUACCCGUGUAGUCCCUGUCUCUUAUAA
rnacentral:rRNA from 1 species